rnacentral:rRNA from 1 species
UACGAAGGGGGCUAGCGUUGCUCGGAAUCACUGGGCGUAAAGCGCACGUAGGCGGCUUUUUAAGUCAGGGGUGAAAUCCUGGAGCUCAACUCCAGAACUGCCUUUGAUACUGAGAGCUUGAGUCCGGGAGAGGUGAGUGGAACUGCGAGUGUAGAGGUGAAAUUCGUAGAUAUUCGCAAGAACACCAGUGGCGAAGGCGGCUCACUGGCCCGGUACUGACGCUGGAGGUGCGGAA